GAAUUUCGGCUACCGGGAUACACCCUGUGCUCGCUUUGCAUUCGAAACUAGUGAACACAGCUGGUGGUAUCUCAGUGGCCCUGAUCCG
rnacentral:pre_miRNA from 14 species